rnacentral:rRNA from 1 species
UGGGGAAUAUUGCACAAUGGGCGCAAGCCUGAUGCAGCCAUGCCGCGUGUGUGAAGAAGGCCUUCGGGUUGUAAAGCACUUUCAGCGGGGAGGAAGGCGAUAAGGUUAAUAACCUUGUCGAUUGACGUUACCCGCAGAAGAAGCACCGGCUAACUCCGUGCCAGCAGCCGCGGUAAUACGGAGGGUGCAAGCGUUAAUCGGAAUUACUGGGCGUAAAGCGCACGCAGGCGGUCUGUCAAGUCGGAUGUGAAAUCCCCGGGCUCAACCCGGGAAUUGCAUCUGAUACUGGUCAGCUAGAGUCUUGUAGAGGAGGGUAGAAUUCCAUGUGUAGCGGUGAAAUGCGUAGAGAUGUGGAGGAAUACCGGUGGCGAAGGCGGCCCCCUGGACAAAGACUGACGCUCAGGUGCGAAAGCGUGGGGAGCAAACAGG